AGCCGAGCCCAGCCGAGCCGAGCGCUGUCGUGGGGGGCCUCGGACAAGCGCUGCCUGCAGGGCUGGGGCUCCGACUGCCCGUCACUAGCAAGAGCCGCCGAGCCCCGGGCCUUCCCCCAGCGCCUCCCUGAGGGCGCCGCCCCGCAGGCUGCCCACUACCAGCCCUCGCCUCUCGCUCCCUGCCGGCGACUCCCCCAGGAGGGCUUACGGGAGGCUGGCGACCAGUGGGCAAGACCUUUCCCUGCACGCGCGCCAGCUCGAGCACUCCGGUCCAAGGUCACUGCUGGUCGACUCCAGAAGAGCAAGGAAAGCCGGGCCUGGCAUAGUUUGAGCUGCCCCCACCGUCCGUGUCCACGCACAGCCCUGGGGCUGCUACUCAGCCAGCGUGCUGGGAAGUACCUUAAAUCCCUCCUGGCGCAGCCUGCCAAGCAUCCUCCCAGUCAGACACCAUAUGCCAGGGACGGCUGGAGGAAAUGGGCUCUCCCCAAUUUACCAAGGAGGAACCUGGGGCAGAGAGGAACAGGACUGGCCUUAAGAGCACCCAGCAGCUGGUGCCAGAGCCAGGAUCUCACCCCAGACUUCCACCCUGUCUCCUGACCAGUGUCCACAACAGAAAACCUCCCAACUUUCACGGAAGAGGCCCUGAGGUACAUACCUGUGUCUGCUGCUGAAGGGAAUCAUCGCUGGGGCUCAGGAGCAUGGGGAACAUUGUCCAGGGGAGAGCAACGAUGCCACUCGACCACUAGUUGGUCCACACUCCGUUUUCCUCCCACGGUGGGUACAGAUUUGCUGAGUGAAGGAACCACCAUGUGCACUCACCAUGCAGUGAGCCAGGGCAAGCUCUGGGGCACAGAAGGUUGCCCUGAGCAGAAGACAGCGGGGUCAGAGGGCAGGCAAGUGUUGGUAAGGGCCCACUGGGAGCUCAUUCACACGUCGGGUCGUGCCGGUAUCGUGUCACACAGGGGAGUAACGAUCUAAAGAGGGAGGCUCUCUCUCUCCCCAUCCAUGGCCUCUACCAAUUUCAAACGGGCCACCACAGUUGGAGAAGCCAGAUCCCUAAGGCAAGUGACCGUGUCUGAAGAGAUGUUGGUGAGGGGAAGGGCCCUCCAGAGAGGACCGUGUCUCCAGGCCACAGUGCACAACCCAAACCCAGGGCUGGCAGGGGGCACAGAGGAAAGGUGCCCCACGCCCCAACCCCUCCCUGAAACAAGAUGUUAACAAAGUUCCUCGUCUGUUGGCGGAAAGUGGAGGGACAUCCAGUGCACCCCCUUGCGAGACGUCCGACCCAGACGUCGCCCCAAACACGACCGAGCAGCUGCAGGGCCGAGGGUGACAGGCCUUCCCUGGGGCAUGGACUAGACGGCUGAGAACACUGGUUCCACCAUUAAGCACCUGAGUCAAAGAGGGGACCUGGGGAGGCAGCUUGGAACCACGUUUGCAAAGGAGCUGCUGGCGGGGGGCGGUGUGGUGGCUGUGCUUCAUGGGUGUUCCAGGCCACCACAGCCUCUCCCUCCUGGGAGGCCGCUUGCUGGGCAGGGAAGCUGGCAGCCACAGCUGGCCCUCUAAUCCAUCCCACGUGACAGCUGGAGAGAGUUGCUGCCUGUGGAAAAGCCUCUGACUGCUCUCAGAAUAAAACUCUUGGUGUCCCUAUGAGGUCCUGUAGCAUCUGCACCCCGACACUCCUCAAAUCUGACACUCCAGCAACUGGAGACACUUCGGGCUUCUUUCUGCUCAGCGGUCACACCAGGCUCCCUCUGGCCUCAGGGCCUUUGCACUUGCUGUGCUGGCUGCCUGGGCUCUCUUCCAGGACCAGCUCUUUCCCAUCCUGCACUGCUCAGCCGAAAUUCCUCCUCAGAGAAGCCCUCCUCAACCACAGGUUAAAUCAAGGACCCCAUGCGACUCCAUCCUGUCACCACCAGCCGACGCUCUUCCCAACAGUAACCAAAACCGCGCAGGGCCUCACAGCCUAGAACACUAACUCCCAGGAGCCUGAACCUCGCGUGUCUCGGCCCUCUCCAGCCCGGCACACAGGGAGGUGCCGAGUAUCUGGGAUGGAUCAGCGAUACCGACGGCACCUGCAGCAGCGACCUGCACACCUGGACGUGCUGGCUCCUCCUCCACUGCUCGUAACGGGCCCCGCUCCCACCCAGAAUCGGCACGACGACCGGAGCUGUCAUCAACGGGAUCCCACGUGCCUCACACACCAUCUCCUACACCCUCACCCCUCUUAAAGUCCUGUGUCACAGACACCUCACACACGAGGAAACGGAGGCUGCGGCCACACAGCCCCGGCUGUGCGAGCCCCGGCUCGCACUGUCGGGGCUUGUGAGCGGCCAUGAGCCCCUCAGCUGUCCUGCCUCCAGACCGGGAGACAGCAGAGGUCCCUCGGUGCUAUGCGCAGAGGAAGGAAUGGACGAGAUAUUGCUGCAUGAUUUUAUUACUAUAAAUAUACAGUAAAAACGAACAAAAACCA